GAAGAAAAAUAAAGAUGACUCAAAUAAGCAAAUAGACAAAAAUGAAAAUUUUCAAUCAAAUUUUUCAUGAGAACAAUUGCCAUUUUGUAGUGACAAUAAAAUGCAUUGUGGCUUUAAUUGCGAGAAUUUGUCUACAAAAUAAACUCCAAGAAAAUGUGCAUUGCACAAUGUCAUAUUUUAUCAUUUACCUAAUAUGUUAGCUACUUAUUAGCCAUUCAUAAGCACUCUAACUAAACAAAUAACUGUUUAAAAUUUUAAAUGCUUAUA
rnacentral:misc_RNA from 1 species